rnacentral:lncRNA from 1 species
AAUAAGAAAAUGAGUCCUAUGAGAAAGAAUGAGAGCAGAUCCUUAAGUGUGAGAAUCUGAGGAAGGUUGCAAGAGACAUGGGGGCAGAGAGUGGAGCAAAUUAUAGAUACAUUUGCAAAACCAUGAGGCAAUAAAAAGUGCCAGUGUGAUUUUGUGCUGUGUUCAUAGAUGUAGGGAAGAUUUACCAGCUCUGUUUGUUUCUGGUUUGACUAGAACCUGAGGUCAGUUUGGAUUAUCUUGCUAGGAGAAGGUGCUGGCAAGUGUCAAGUUCAGCCGAAGAACAAAUACAGUUAAAACAAUGGUGUAAGCAGUGUUGUAGAUUGCCAGGGCACAACUGGUAGCAAUCAAGCUUCUCUUUGUCAGAAAGCCAGCUGGAAUGGGGGACAGGGCAGCAGCCCUGAAAGAAGUGUGCGGCUUCAUGGAGAUGAAGAGCAGUGCUGGAGCCUGUAUCCUGUUUGGGAGAUAUGAGGACGAUGUCUCUGGCCUGUCUGAGGAGAUUUAACUGCUCCCUGGUGUGGUUUGGAAGGCAGCCGUGAGGUGUUUCGCCAGCAGCAGGGAAUCUGAUCUGCCUGUCCAGAAGCUGCCAGGAAGAGGGACCCUUGCCAGAGGCAGUGAUGGAAAAGUACUUUUAUUUGUGGUCUUUCUGGCUGGCCAUGCAAAUCUCUUCUGAUCAGGUUUCAGAGGAGGGUUCAAACUGCAAACUGAC